ACCGGGCGGUGUGGUGGGUGCCUGUAAUCCCAGCUACUUGGGAGGCUGAGGCAAGAGAAUUGCUUAAGCCCAAAAGUUGGAGGUUGCUGUGAGCUGUGAUGCCACAGCACUCUACCCAGGGUGACAGCUUGAGACUCUGUCUCAAAAAAAAAAAAGAAUAAAUUCAUUAUGCUUUUUUUUUUUUUUUUGAGACAGUCUCACUCUGUUGCCCUUGGUAGAGUGCUAUGGUGUCAUAGCUCACAGCAACCUCAAACUCUUGGGCAGAAGCAAUCCUCUUGC
rnacentral:sRNA from 1 species